rnacentral:rRNA from 1 species
CAAGUGGGUAUCCUAACCCCGGAAAGGGGACGGGAAUCCUACCUAAACCAAUCUUAGUUCGGAUUGAGGGCUGCAACUCGCCCUCAUGAAGCUGGAAUCCGUAGUAAUCGCGUUUCAACAGAACGCGGUGAAUACGUCCCUGCUCCUU